rnacentral:rRNA from 1 species
AAAAACAUCGCUCUCUGACAUCACCAAUAUGGAGAGUUGGACCUGCCCGGUGACAUUUGUUUAACGGCUGCGGUUUUAUACCGCAUUAAAGUAGCAUAAUAAUUUGCCUCUUAAUUGAGGGCUAGUAUGAACGGUCUGACGAGAGCUUUGCUGUCUCUUUUUAAAUAUUUAAAAAUUAACCUCUAGGUGAAAAGGCCUAGACCAUAUUGAGGGACGAAAAGACCCUAUUGAGCUUUAGUAAAGCUGCAGAAUCUUUAGUAUCACUAGAUACACUACAUCAACCCCUUGUCUGCAACUAAUCUUUAACUGGGACGGCUAGGGAGCACCAAAAACCUCUCUAAAUAUUUCAAUUACAGGCCCACACGCCACAGAUCCAGUACUUUACCGAUCAAUGGAAAAAGUUACCAUAGGGAUAACAGCGUAAUUCCUUCAAAGAGCCCGUAUCAAAGAAGGAGUUUGCGACCUCGAUGUUGGAUUAAGAUACCCCAAGGGUGCAGAAGCUCUUGACGGUUGGUCUGUUCGACCAUUAAAAUCUUACGUGAUCU